UCUCUGGUGGUCCAAUAGUUAGGACCAGGCACUUACACUGCAGGGGGCCCAGGUUCGAUCCCUGGUCCAGGAA
rnacentral:tRNA from 1 species